UCGCGUCUUACGACGGCAGUUUCAGUAGAGUUCCCAGCGUUACCUGAUGGCAACUACUGAUGGGGGUUGCGCUCGUUGCGGGACUUAACCCAACACCUCACGGCACGAGCUGACGACAGCCAUGCAGCACCUUACUAGCGGUGUAUUGCUACAAAGGUAGCUUUCACUACCGGUCCACUAGCAUUCUAGCCCAGGUAAGGUUCCUCGCGUAUCAUCGAAUUAAGCCACAUGCUCCACCGCUUGUGCGGGCCCCCGCCAAUUCCUUUGAGUUUUAGCCUUGCGGCCGUACUCCCCAGGCGGGGCACUUAAUGCGUUAGCUACGGCGCGGAAAACAUGGAAUGUCCCCCACACCUAGUGCCCAACGUUUACGGCAUGGACUAC
rnacentral:misc_RNA from 1 species